UACGUAGGGGGCAAGCGUUGUCCGGAAUUAUUGGGCGUAAAGCGUGUGUAGGCGGCCAGAUAAGUCCGCUGUGAAAUCUCGAGGCUCAACUUCGAGCUGUCGGUGGAAACUGUCUGGCUAGAGUCCGGAAGAGGAGAAUGGAAUUCCUGGUGUAGCGGUGAAAUGCGCAGAUAUCAGGAAGAACACCCGUGGCGAAGGCGGUUCUCUGGGACGGUACUGACGCUGAGACGCGAAAGCCAGGGGAGCAAACGGG
rnacentral:rRNA from 1 species